CCGAGUGCUGGUGCCCUCUGGGUACCUACUCCCACCAUGUGUGAACCCUUUAAUCGUUGCUUUGGCGGGCCGGCAGCCCUGCCCUCUGGCUCUAGCUAGAGAGUGCCCGCCAGAGGAUGUUUUGAACCCGUCUUAACGUGGAAUCUGAGUCUCGUCGAGAAAGUCCA
rnacentral:misc_RNA from 1 species